rnacentral:tRNA from 1 species
GCCCCAGUGUGGUAAUGGACAUCCCAUGGGCUUGCGGAGCCUAUGAUCCGGGUUCGAUUCCCGGCUGGGGCA